GGGCUCACUUCGGCAGCACAUCUACUGAUACUGGAACGAUUCAGAGACUACGAUGGCCUCUGUGCAAGGAUGACGCGCAAAUUCGUGAAGCGAUCCAUAUUCUU
ensembl:snRNA U6 U6 spliceosomal RNA